rnacentral:rRNA from 1 species
UGAAAAAGUUGGUGGUGAAAUCCCAGAGCUUAACUCUGGAACUGCCAUCAAAACUUUUCAGCUAGAGUAUGAUAGAGGAAAGCAGAAUUUCUAGUGUAGAGGUGAAAUUCGUAGAUAUUAGAAAGAAUACCAAUUGCGAAGGCAGCUUUCUGGAUCAUUACUGACACUGAGGAACGAAAGCAUGGGUAGCGAAGAGGAUUAGAUACCCUCGUAGUCCAUGCCGUAAACGAUGUGUGUUAGACGUUGGAAAUUUAUUUUCAGUGUCGCAGCGAAAGCGAUAAACACACCGCCUGGGGAGUACGACCGCAAGGUUAAAACUCAAAUGAAUUGACGGGGACCCGCACAAGUAGUGGAGCAUGUGGUUUAAUUCGAAGAUACGCGCAGAACCUUACCAACACUUGACAUGUUCGUCGCGACUCUAAGAGAUUAGAGUUUUCGGUUCGGCCGGACGAAACACAGGUGCUGCAUGGCUGUCGUCAGCUCGUGUCGUGAGAUGUUGGGUUAAGUCCCGCAACGAGCGCAACCCUCACUUUUAGUUGCCAUCAUUAAGUUGGGCACUCUGAAAGAACUGCCAGUGAUAAGCUGGAGGAAGGUGGGGAUGACGUCAAGUCCUCAUGGCCCUUACGUGUUGGGCUACACACGUGCUACAAUGGUAUCUACAACAGGAAGCAAGACUGCGAGGUCAA